AUUCCCGAUGCCCAAGCCCGCUCUGCCUGGACAUACUCUUUGAAGAGGAGGAAGAAAGAGUCUUGUUCUGCAGGACCCUCUUUAAUAUCGAUUGGCUGAGCUCCAUCAAGGAGACCGAGGGAGAGGCUGAGGCUGAGAUGGAGGCAUAGAGGCCAAGAUGGCCUCUGAAGCCUUCAAGGCACAGGUGGCACAGGUUUUGACAGGAGAUGGGUUUCCGGGUUACCACCAGCGCCUGACCAACAAGACCCAGUCCAGACCCAGUGUAUGUGGUCAUCUGCCUGCUACAUUGCCCUGCCCUGUCCUGGUCUUGGCCGUGAGUCAUAGCCCCGGCCGUAUAUCUCACCUCCGGCUCAAGCCACGCUAAACUCCAACCCAUCCACCCCACUUUCC